rnacentral:rRNA from 1 species
UAGGGAAUCUUCGGCAAUGGACGGAAGUCUGACCGAGCAACGCCGCGUGAGUGAAGAAGGUUUUCGGAUCGUAAAGCUCUGUUGUUAGAGAAGAACGUUGGUAGGAGUGGAAAAUCUACCAAGUGACGGUAACUAACCAGAAAGGGACGGCUAACUACGUGCCAGCAGCCGCGGUAAUACGUAGGUCCCGAGCGUUGUCCGGAUUUAUUGGGCGUAAAGCGAGCGCAGGCGGUUCUUUAAGUCUGAAGUUAAAGGCGGUGGCUUAACCAUUGUACGCUUUGGAAACUGGAGGACUUGAGUGCAGAAGGGGAGAGUGGAAUUCCAUGUGUAGCGGUGAAAUGCGUAGAUAUAUGGAGGAACACCGGUGGCGAAAGCGGCUCUCUGGUCUGUAACUGACGCUGAGGCUCGAAAGCGUGGGGAGCAAACAGGAUUAGAUACCCUGGUAGUCCACGCCGUAAACGAUGAGUGCUAGGUGUUAGGCCCUUUCCGGGGCUUAGUGCCGCAGCUAACGCAUUAAGCACUCCGCCUGGGGAGUACGACCGCAAGGUUG